AAACAAUACAUAAAAAUUGUUGAAGUAGUUAUUAAAAGUAGUUGAAAUGUUAAAAUAAAAAAUGUUGUUACAGUACAUAAAAAUUAUGAGUAGUUAUUAAAAAAUGUUGAAGUAGCUCAUUGUGUUGCGUUAAUUCCAAAAAAUAUUAUGCUUUAAACGGAUUUCAAUUCAGAUUCAUGGUUUUAGAGGAAAAAAUUAUUUGUUAAUUCCAAAGAAUAUUAUGGUUUAAACGGAUUUCAAAUCGGAUUCAUGGUUUAAGAGAAAAAAUUAUUUGAAAUUUGAAACUCGUUUAACAUCACAUCCGCC
rnacentral:lncRNA from 1 species